AGAUUUGAAAAAGGCACCAAGAAGAUAGACGCUCAGUAAACAGAUGAGCUGGUCCCAGCAGGAUUCCUGCAUCCUGGUGCACCUGGAGGUGCAGAAUUACCAUGUUGAGUGGAGGAGGGGACUAAGGAGCGCAGCUGCCUUAACAGCCAGUUGACCUUAUCCUAGCGCUUCCGCCUGCUCAAGUCCUCUGACCCCCGCCCAGCUCCUCGCCACUGCCCAAGGGACCUGACUGACUGGCCGUCUGCCUGGCAUCUCCACCUGUCUGCCUCACCCUCCCCUCCCAUGACGGCUCUUGUCCAGCCCAGAAUGGGCCACUGUGUUGGGCACUGUGCAGACGGAGUAUUUCCUCUCUGCCCCAAGGCCCUGACGGCCUCGCCUCCAGCACCUGUAAAUAUCAGGCAGAGCCAGCAGCCUCCAGAGAGUCUCAGCAAGGUCCCCAAAGCGUCUGAACCCCCGCACCCUGGAACUUGUUUCCCUUCCAGCACUGAUGGGAAUCAUCAGCCCGGCUCUUGACUUGGAGAUGUCUCUACAUGUGGACCCCUGUCUCCCCCACUUCUGGAAUGCAGCCUGGUAGGUCCUGCUGUGAGGCCCGGCUGGAGCAGGCCCCAGAUGCACUGACCCUGCGUACGACCACAGGCAAGGCACGUAGAGCCCUAAUGUCAAAUGAUGAUGUGAUAUGGCUGUUUGAGGAUAAACAAAUAAUCAGCUGGGGAAAGAGGGUGGGGCAGAGGAAGAAAAGAAACUUUGGGAAUGUUAGAGGCCAAAAUAUGAUGGAAACUAAGGUGUUUACAGGCUAACACCGAACUCUGCUGUCACCGCACGCGAACGGCUAUGGACAACGUGAACACGAACGUGUGUGUUCAGUAAGACCACACCUUCAACACAGGCCGUGGAGGCAGAUGUGAGCGGUGCUCUCACACACCUGUGGGAAAGACAGCAGAAAUCAUCGCAAGCUACUCAAGCAGACGACCCUUGACACACAUGGACAUAAUCCUGCCCAAGCCUCUGUGUGCCCUCAGAGUGGAUGGGAGACAGCUCAGCCUGCCAGGGACAGCAGAAGGCCCUACAAUGCCAUGAGUCAUCUGUUUUCUGAGUACCUGUUAACUUCAGACAUUGGACAAACAACUCUUCUUUCCCUUGUGCAAAA